GUGAUCUGUACGUUUCGAGGGACCGUGACGCAGGGUCUGUCUCUGGAGAUAGGAGAGACAAUUCAGAUACUGGAGAAAUGUGAAGGAUGGUACCGAGGAUUCUCCACCAGGAAGCCUACAAUCAAGGGAAUCUUCCCGACCAGCUACAUUCACUUGAAGAAGGCCAUCGUAACCAACAGAGGGUAAGUAU